UUCCUAUCUUUGGUCUGAAAUUUCAGUUUGAGUCCUCAGCCAGAAGUCCUGCAACUGUUACACAAGACCCAGAGGCAAAUGUGUGGUUUGCUGUGAGAACGUAGUCCGAUCAGGGAACAGCCUGUUGAGGAAGGAGUCUUGGGCCUCAAGACACGUGAAAUGAUCCCUGACUGCAUGUGACAAGCUCUGAAAGCCAGAAAGGAAGUGUCAGACUGCAGAGCAGGAAGAAUCAGAAGUGAAAGAACAUGCAUCUGAUAACUCAAAAUGUGAUUGAAAUGGUGUGCCCAAUCAACAACAAAGAACCUCUGAAAAAAGAAUUGGCAUUUGAAAAGAAUUUGGAGAUGAAUACAAUGGCUCCAAUGACAAGGAGAAGCAAAAUGCAGAAUCUUGGCUGAA
rnacentral:lncRNA from 1 species